AAUGAAAUUGUGGAGAAUGUUUGUAAUCCAAAGUAGGAGGUAAAUGUUUCUAGGCUUUCGCCUUUAAUUGAGUACGUUUAUUUUAAUUGGUUCCUUUGUUAAUAUUCAUUACAUGAUUAAAAUUUAUUACACAAAGAAUUAAAAUUUGUUGUAUAACAAAAACGGAAGAAAAUUUUGUUCAAUAAGAUGAGCUACAUGCAGCCAUAUUUGGUGCAACACUAUUCAUUUGCACAAUUUUGUAUUAACAUGAUGCAAAUUAUGAUGUUGGUUUGGAGGUUGUAUUCACCAAAUAUUUGGUACUAAAAAUUGAGAAAUAUGGUGGAAUGGGUUUAGGGUUGAAGAUGGCCUAAUGCUGGAGAUAAUUUAUUUUACUUUAUAUGAGAUCAGUUGAUGAAUUCAUGAGUAUUUAUGUUUUUAUUGUUGCAACUUAUUGUGUUGAAGUAGAUCUGGGAAAAUCAAAUUAUUAAAAUAGCGGAGAAUAUUUGUAAUCCAAAGUAGUAGGAAAAUAUGACACAUGUUUCUAGGCUUUGUUCUUUAAUUCUUGUGAAAUCCAAUUUGAAAAUGAUGCAAUGAUAGGUUGUCUCACAUAAUCCAUGAAAAGAAGAGUGAG
rnacentral:lncRNA from 1 species